rnacentral:rRNA from 1 species
AGUCGAGAAUAAUUCACAAUGGACGAAAGUCUGAUGGUGCAACGCCGCGUGGAGGAUGAAGGUCUUCGGAUUGUAAACUCCUGUCAUUUGAGAGUAAGACCUGGCGGUGAAUAGCCGACAGGGUUGAUAGUAUCAAAAGAGGAAGGGACGGCUAACUUCGUGCCAGCAGCCGCGGUAAUACGAAGGUCCCGAGCGUUGUUCGGAAUCACUGGGCGUAAAGGGAGCGUAGGCGGUUAGGUAAGUCAGAUGUGAAAUCCCGGGGCUCAACCUCGGAACUGCAUCCGAUACUGCCUGACUAGAGUAAUGGAGGGGUAACUGGAAUUCUCGGUGUAGCAGUGAAAUGCGUAGAUAUCGAGAGGAACACUCGUGGCGAAGGCGAGUUACUGGACAUUUACUGACGCUGAGGCUCGAAGGCCAGGGUAGCGAA